ACUUGGAGGGUAUGUAGCUCUCUACUUUGCAGUCUGUGGCAUUCCCUCUACCUGCAAGAGUGAAAAAAAUCACAGAAUUGGUAUAGUGAAGUGGAAGAUGAUGAAUCUUUCAAUGACAUGGUGUCUUUCUAUUGGAGUCUUGCUGCAGCCUAUGUGACAAUACUUCUUGGGAUACUCGCAUCUCUCUCAUUUGAUUCUCCUUGGAGCAUUGCGUGGUUCUACAUCGUAUAUUCUUUCAUCGACAAGGUUAAGAAUUUGUUUAGUAAAACACUGUAGGUGCCAAAUUCUUCUUAUACUAAUUUUUGCAAGGAAGCAGUUCUCAAACAGCCUAAAAACGAAACAGAGUAUCAAUUUUUAAUAGCACUGAUCAGAGAACUUAUGCCA